rnacentral:rRNA from 1 species
GACGAACGCUGGCGGCGUGCUUAACACAUGCAAGUCGAACGAUGAAGCCGGAGCUUGCUCUGGUGAAUUAGUGGCGAACGGGUGAGUAACACGUGAGUAACCUGCCCUUGACUCUGGGAUAACUGCGGGAAACUGUAGCUAAUACCGGAUACGACCCUCGGAGGCAUCUCCUGGGGGUGGAAAGAAUUUCGGUCAAGGAUGGACUCGCGGCCUAUCAGCAAGUGGGGGAGGUAAAGGCUCACCAAGGCGACGACGGGUAGCCGGCAUGAGAGGGUGAGCGGCCACACUGGGACUGAGACACGGCCCAGACUCCUACGGGAGGCAGCAGUGGGGAAUAUUGCACAAUGGGCGCAAGCCUGAUGCAGCAACGCCGCGUGAGGGAUGACGGCCUUCGGGUUGUAAACCUCUUUUAGCAGGGAAGAAGCGAAAGUGACGGACCUGCAGAAAAAGCACCGGCUAACUACGUGCCAGCCGCCGCGGUAA